UUGAGYUUGAUCCUGGCUCAGAUUGAACGCUGGCGGCAGGCCUAACACAUGCAAGUCGAGCGGCAGCACGAGAAAGCUUGCUUUCUUGGUGGCGAGCGGCGGACGGGUGAGUAAUACAUGGGAAUCUGCCCGAUAGUGGGGGACAACGUUUCGAAAGGAACGCUAAUACCGCAUACGUCCUACGGGAGAAAGCAGGCUUAGGCUUGCGCUAUCGGAUGAGCCCAUGUCGGAUUAGCUUGUUGGUGAGGUAAUGGCUCACCAAGGCGACGAUCCGUAACUGGUCUGAGAGGAUGAUCAGUCACACCGGAACUGAGACACGGUCCGGACUCCUACGGGAGGCAGCAGUGGGGAAUAUUGGACAAUGGGGGCAACCCUGAUCCAGCCAUGCCGCGUGUGUGAAGAAGGCCUUCGGGUUGUAAAGCACUUUCAGCGAGGAGGAAAGCAGUAAGGUUAAUACCCUUAU
rnacentral:rRNA from 1 species